rnacentral:rRNA from 1 species
AUUGAACGCUGACGGCAUGCCUUACACAUGCAAGUCGAACGGUAACAGGUCUUCGGAUGCUGACGAGUGGCGAACGGGUGAGUAAUACAUCGGAACGUGCCCGAGAGUGGGGGAUAACGAGGCGAAAGCUUUGCUAAUACCGCAUACGAUCUCAGGAUGAAAGCAGGGGACCGCAAGGCCUUGCGCUCACGGAGCGGCCGAUGGCAGAUUAGGUAGUUGGUGGGAUAAAAGCUUACCAAGCCGACGAUCUGUAGCUGGUCUGAGAGGACGACCAGCCACACUGGGACUGAGACACGGCCCAGACUCCUACGGGAGGCAGCAGUGGGGAAUUUUGGACAAUGGGCGCAAGCCUGAUCCAGCCAUGCCGCGUGCAGGAUGAAGGCCUUCGGGUUGUAAACUGCUUUUGUACGGAGCGAAACGGCUUCCACUAAUACUGGGGGCUAAUGACGGUACCGUAAGAAUAAGCACCGGCUAACUACGUGCCAGCCGCCGCGGUAACAC